GCUCCGGUAGUAUAGCCCGGUCAAGUAUGCGGGCCUCUCAAGCCCGUGGCCCGGGUUCAAAUCCCGGCCGGAGCA
rnacentral:tRNA from 1 species